rnacentral:rRNA from 1 species
AGCGAACGCUGGCGGCGUGCCUAACACAUGCAAGUCGAACGUGAAAAGGGAAACCUGAGUAAAGUGGCGUACGGGUGAGUAACGCGUAGGUAAUCUACCCCAGAAUCUGGAAUAACCUGCCGAAAGGCGGGCUAAUACUGGAUAGAGCGAGGGAACUCGUAAGAGAGUUUUUCGGGAAAGGGAGCCCGCAAGGGCCUUCGUCUGGGAUGAGCCUGCGUCUCAUUAGCUAGUUGGUAAGGUAACGGCUUACCAAGGCGAUGAUGAGUAGCUGGUCUGAGAGGAUGAUCAGCCACACUGGAACUGAAACACGGUCCAGACUCCUACGGGAGGCAGCAGUGGGGAAUCUUGCGCAAUGGACGAAAGUCUGACGCAGCCACGCCGCGUGAGUGAAGAAGGCCUUCGGGUUGUAAAGCUCUGUCGGAUGGGACGAACAUCUUCAUAGUGAAUAGCUAUGAGGACUGACGGUACCAUCAAAGGAAGCACCGGCUAACUCCGUG